GUCAACUCUUUUCUUCUCCGCCGAUGCUGCCAGACCUGCUGAGUUUUUCCAGGUAAUUCUGUUUUUGUUUUUUCACUCUGUUACUCACCCUGUCUCUAUGUAACCAUGUCUCACUUCCUUUGUUACUGUCAUCUUGCCUCUUUGUUUUUCUCGUUCUGUCUCUCUUCCUUUGUUACUCGCUGUCACUCUUAGCUACUCCCACCCUGUCACUUUUCCUUUGUUAUUUUCUUCUAAAUCCUUUGUUACUCGCUCCCGGCCACUCUUGGUUACUCUCUCUCUCUCUCCCGCCUACGAUUCCGCCUUCAGUUUCGCUUUCACUUUGCUGCUGAUAGUUUCAGUUCAUUUCGUCUCCCUCUCCAUCCCGGAGCUGGACCUCCUCUGGAUUUGGAGUGUAUCCCGACUGAGCGUUUUUGGAGCAGAACCGGAGCAGGUUGGUGUGAACGGAGCUGCUAAUCCCGAACUCACUGCGGAUAAAGCCAGUUAAAUCCCGAGGGAGGACUUGCUGCCAGUGUGACUGAACAAUGAGUGGGACAGGCUCUGCUCUCCAAAAUAGGUCGGCAAGUGUUGUAAAAAAGGGGUGUAGCUUGUCUAACCUCCCCUGAUGACCCAGCACUACGAGGAAGCAGUUAGCUUGAAGCUAGGCUCCGCAUUUCUGAAGAAGCAGGGAUCAGAAGACAGAGCCAGAAAUGAAGAGUUCCCGCUUGGCACAGGAAAAUAGGAGAGGAGCAGAAAUCCAAAGGUCUUAGAUCACCAAGACAUUUCAUUGUGGAACAUCGGUGUGACCUGGUGGAAAGGAUUUCCCUUGUUGAACCUCUUGUGGACAUCUUGAGGCAGGAAGAUGUUCUCAAUCAAGGUGAAUAUGAGACAAUCCGAG